UUUUUUUUUUUUGGUGAAAAAGAAAUUACAAUUUAAGUAUCAAAUAUUAAAAAACUCAACACAUAAUCUUUGUCAACCAACCGCAAACCCGGCUCCCUAUCCCGCCUAAGCUUGACUAUUCUAUCUGCAAGUCUAUUCUCGUCUCUAGGAAUAUAUUUAAGAUUCCAGUGCCUCAGGAGCUUCAAAAACAAAAGUAUUCUCCUAACUAAGGCAGAAUUAGAACCAUUACGAACUCCUUUAUGAAUAAGAUUAGCAGCUUCAAGAUUAUCUGUCCGAAUGAUGACUUUUCGAUAGCCACGAUCAAGAGUAAUUUGCAGUCCAUCAAGGAUGCCCCAUAAUUCUGAAUCAAUAACUUCACAAUUACCCAAACACCAUGUGAAACCAAUAAUCCAAUUCCCAUUAUGAUCUUCCAAAAGUCCUCCAGCUACGGCAAACAUAUCUACAGAUUUGACAGAACCAUCCGUGUUCAAAUAGACCCAACUAUCCGAAGAACCUGGAACUAAAUCCGAUCUUGAAAAUUUAAUGCCUUGCGAAUCUGACACCAAAACAUACUGUUUUGCCGAACAUAGAGAUGAUUUGAUAACCUCAUCAGUACUCCACGAAAGACCUUGAAAUACGCGUAGAUUCCGAUUCUUCCAAAUGCGUCAAAUGAUAAUCCCGAACAGACAAGACCAACUGACUCCUCCCACUAGAUUUAUGGCUUGCUGAUUCCAUAAAUUAAGCUCCAUCCAUUCAUAUAGAGACCCUGCAAAAAAAAAGAUUGUUUACCUGUAGGGAUUAACUGCAUCCAUAUAUCUCAUGCCGUUGUGCAAUCCCUUAGAACAUGAAGGACACUUUCAUAAUUAUGGCCGCAUAUACCACAAGUAGUAUUUGAUCCCAAUCCUCUUCGUAUCCUUUCAACAUUGCUGAGCAAAUGGUGUUUAAUAGCAAGCCAAAUGAACACUCUAACCCUUUGUGGUCCCUGAUAUUUCCACGACAAUUUCCAAACAUCCUCUUUCGCAUUCCAUGAACCUUCCCAAAGUUUUCUAUACGUACUUUUAAUUCAGAAAGAGCCAGACGUGAUACCCCCUCAAUAAUUCUAUCCAUGCCAGAAUUUGAUUGAGGUGGCGGAAUCCUUACAAUCUGAUGAAUGAUAUCUUCAGGUAACCAAUGACAGAAGAAAUCUAAAUUCCAAUUCCUAUUUUCCGUGACCAUAUCACUAAAGGAACAAUCCAUAUCCAAGCUAGAAUUGCAAGCUAUCUUUUUGUAUAAAGGCCCAACAUUAGGAACCCAAGAAUCCUUCCAACAGUUAAUACUGCGUCCAUCUCCAACUGACUAGAGGAGAUUCUCACGUAUGAGAGGCCAAAUCUUCGAUAGAGAUCUCCAUAAGAAAGAGCAACGUCCCAUUGAUAAAGAUUCUGGUAAAUCACUUUGAAUCUCAUACUUAGACCGAAGCACUUUAACCCAUAAAGAAGAAGAAUCAGUCACUAAAUUAAAUAUCAAUUUUAUCAUAAAUGAAGUAUUAUGAUCACGUAAAAACCUUAUACCAAGACCACCAUGCACUUUAGGUUGACAUAUUGAAUCCCAACUUACCAAAGUCAUUUUUUUUAUUUCCACUAGUGGAUCUCCAAAUGAAUUGUCGAACCAUAACUUCAAUCUCAUCACACAAACUUUUCUGGAUCAUCAUCGAUUGCAUAAAGUAGCUCAGAAUUGAAAGCAAAACCGCUUGAGCUAAAGUAAUUCUACCUGCAAGAGAGAGUUGUCUAGCGUCCCAACUACAAAGUUUACUACGUACCUUAUCAACGACAAAGCGCAAAGUAUUAUUCGUAACCUUCUUAUAGAAUAGGGGAACCCCUAAAUACAAACCAAGAUUCUGCACCACUUGGAACCUAAAAAAACCACUAAUACGCCGUUGAAUGUCUUCAUCCACUCCUUUAGAGAAAAAUAUAUUUGACUUUUGCAUAUUAACAUUAUGACCCAAAAAACCACAAAAAGUGUUUAAAACUUCCUAUAUAACCCAUGCCUGCUCCUCCUCCGCCUAGCCAAAAAGGAUUAAGUCAUCUCAAAAAAAAAUAUGAGAAAGGGACAGACCUGAUCUAGACAGCCGGAUAGGCGACCAUCUACCAUCUGUCAUGGCCGCAUGGAUACCAUGCCCUAACCAUUCCAUACACAAAAUGAAAAGGUACGGUAAAAGCGGGCAUCCUUGACGAACUCCUUUUACCGGUUUGAAUUUCCAGGACGACACUCCAUUCCAAAGCACCUGCAUAGUUGAACUAGAAAUAGCUGACAUAAUAACAUUACAGAGAAAAUUAGGAAUACCUGCAGCUGUAAAGAAGCGUCUAUGAAAUCCCAACAUACACGAUCAUAAGCCUUCUCUAGGUCAAUCUUAAUAGUCAUCCAUCUUUUAUUCUUUUCCUUACUCUUCAUAGAAUGUAUGACUUCUUGUGCAAUAAUGAUGUUAUCAUUUAUAUUCCUUCCUGCUACAAAUCCUGCUUGUUCAGGUCCAAUGAUCUUCGAAAAAACCACUUUCAAUCUAUUAGCAAUCACCUUAAUCACUAACUUGUAUAAGACCGAAUAAGGACUAAUAGGACGAAACUGCGAAAAACAUUCCGGAUGUUGCACUUUAGGAAUAAGGACAAUAAGUGAACUAUUAAGGUCUGGAUCAAUGUUCUCCCCAAAGAAAACACGUCUAACCCACUCACAAAUCGAAGGACCAACCAGCUCCCACUGACUCUGAUAGAAAAUAGCAUGUAGGCCAUCACUGCCUGGUGUUAAAGGUGCCAUAUCAAAAAGGGUCUUCUUAAUCUCCUCAUCAGAAACCGGUAUAUUAAGGAAUUGAAUCACUUCCUACUUAAGAGCCGGGAAUGAACCACACCCAAGACUACCCGUUCUUCCUAAUUGUUUGCUAUAAAGGUUUUUAUAAAAAUUAAUCGUUUCCUGCUUCAAAUCCUCAUCAUCCAUAACCCACUCCCCUGCUUGAUUUUUUAAUGCAACAAUACGAUUGUGCUUCCUUCUCUGAAGAGUUUGCCUAUGGAAGAAUCUUGUAUUACGAUCUCCAAAAGCUAAACAAUCACACCUAGCCUUUUGCCACCAUAAAAGUUCCUCAUGAUGCAACACUGACUCUAGCUCAUCACGGAUUUCUAACUCAACAUGAGUUAAAAAAGUAGAGCUUUUUCGAUCAAUCGCCUUCAGGACAUUGUCAAGCUUCUUCUUCAAAAGAUUCUUUCGAUGCUUAAUGUGACCAUAAACCUCCUUGUUCCAUAAUUUUACUUACUUGGUGAAGAUAGCAUGAGUAUACGACAUGUUCCUUAAAAACUCUCAAUUCUUUUUAACAAAUUCUGAAAAACCCGGAUGCUCAACGCAACCAGCCAAAAAAUGAAAAGACCUUCUUGAGGACGACUAGACUUCAGGCAUAAGAGUUAAUUUAAGAGGUCUGUGGUUCGAUUUAAGCUUUUGUAAAUGCAGGAAUUUUAACAAAAGAAACUUAAUGCUCCAAGCAUCAUUACAAAUCGCUCUAUCCAGUCUCUCGAAAACACCCCCUUUAUUCCAGGUAAAGUUAGGACCACUAAACCUUAAAUCUUGUAGCCAUAUGAAAUUCAUGAAAUCACUAAAAAGAGCACAUCUUUUCCCAUUGACCCGACCUCCUCUUUUCUCACAAGGAUCGAGGAUAGUAUUAAAAUCUCUAAUUGCUAACCAUGGAGUCUCAUCCACCGGCACAAUAUACUUAAGAGCUUCCCAUAACUGCUUCUGCUUUUGACCAUUAUGACUCUCAUACACAAAGGUAACAAAAUCGAUUGCCAAAAAGAAAUUCCAGAAAUUUUGAUUAAAAUAAAUUGGGAAAGAUUUCCCAAAAUAUCCUCAGAAGUUGUUUUUUUCCAUCCAAUCUAAAUUCCAUCGGAGAAACCCACAGCCUCCACAUGAUAUGAAAAAUCAAAACCAAGCUUAGCAAUAACUGAAUCAACUUUGACACCACUUACCAUUGUUUCCAAAAGUCCAAUCAAAUCAGGUUUAUGUUCUCUAUUAUAUUCCCAAAAAACACGAGGAAAUUUUAAGCUCGCACAACCUUGACAAUUCCAGCAAAAAUAGUAAAAAUCAUAUUUAAAAUAAAAAUUAAAAAUAACAAAAUUAAAAAUACUGCCAUAUUAUGCCGACAUAGAACCAAUGCGACCAAUCUGUCUAUCAGCACUGCCACUAAUCUCCUCAACUCCAACCUCAACUUGCGAAUUGAUGAGAUUAGCCAUAGAGCUUAUAGCCUCUGUCAAAAGAAUUCGAGAAAUUUUAGCUGUUAGAAUUAUGUGACCCAAAUUCUAAGAGAUUGCUUGCAAGUCAAGUUAAACAAAAAUAUAUUUUCUUUCUAGAAGAUUUAAUAUUUAUUAGUAUAAUAUAUUUAGCCUAUAAAUAGGCUCUUUACAAUCUUAGAAUUAAGUGACACCCAUUAGAUUAGAACUCAUAACACAUUCAGAGAAUUUUGUAUUUACGUUUUGAUGAUUCUUUGUUUUUCGGGGUUUAGUUUUUAUCUUCAUCUUUUGUACUCUUCAUUCUUUUGCCAUUAUAGUAAAAUUAUCUUUGCCCGUGGUUUUUUAUCCUCUUUUGAAGGGUUUUUCCACGUUAAAUUUGUGUGUUCAUCUUCUCAAUUUCUUCUACUAUUUUUACUUGUUCGUUGCUUAAUCAGGACGAUCCUAACAAGUGGUAUCAGAGCUAGUUUAACUUUCAUAGAUCAGCCCGUUCAGACAUGGCAACAAUAAGGUUUGAAAUUGAGAAGUUUGAUGGUGAGACAAAUUUCAAUCUGUGGCAAGUUCGGAUGAUGGCAAUUCUAGUUCAAAAUGGCUUGAAAAAAGUUGUUACAGGGAAAAAGCCUGAAAAUCUAAAUCAAACAGAAUGGGAAGAGCUUGAUGAAAAGACCUUGUCUGCAAUCCAAUUGUGCCUCGCGAAUACAGUAUUGCAGAAGGUAUUGAUGGAGAAGACCUCAUUCGCCUUGUGGAAAAGGUUAGAAACUCUUUAUGCGACUAAGUCUUUGGCUAACCGUUUAGUGUUGAAACAACGUCUAUUUACGUUUCGCAUGAACGAAGGUGAGCUUCUUAAAGAUCACAUCAGUCAAUUUAUUACUCUUUUAAAUGAUUUAAAGAACGUUGAGAUUCAUAUUGACGAUGAAGAUCAAUCUAUGCUAUUAUUGUGCUCUUUACCCUCUUCAUGCAAGUCUUUCAGGGAGACCCUGAUUUAUGGCAGAGACAAACUCUCGUUCGAAGAUGUGAAGGGUUAUUUGUUGAGUAGAGACAAACUCGACAAUGAGUUUGGUUUGAAUAGCAAAGCAGAUAGGCAAGCUUCCAUUUUGGUAGCAUCAAAGAAACGAGACAAAAGGUGUCGCUAUUGUAAAAAGUUAGGUCACGUCAAAGCAAAUUGUUAUAAACUGCGAAAUAAAAGAGCUGCUGAGAGUAACGAGGAAGAUGUAACUGAUGCUAAUUUGGUCGAUGAAGGCGGUGAUGAUUUCUUGUUAGUGUCAACGAGCGAUAACUCCAAGCUUACGUCUGAGUGGAUCCUAGAUUCAGGAUGUUCUUUCCACAUGUGUCCCAAUAGAGAAUGGUUCUCCACAUACAGUUCAGUUGAAGGUGGAGUUGUGCACAUGGGAAACGAUUCAUCUAGUAAAAUAAUCGGUAUUGGUACUGUUAAAAUUAGGAUACACGAUGGGACGAUUAGGACACUCUCAGAUGUCAGGUAUGUACCUGAUUUACGAAUGAAUCUCAUCUCCUUGAGUAUUUUAGACUUGAAAGGAUGCAGAAUCAACAUCGAGUCGAGCGACAUUAAAGUAUCUCGUGGAGCUCUCGUUUUGUUAAAAGGUAAAAGAACUGGCAGUCUUUAUAUUCUGGAAGGUUCUACAGUGACCGGUGAAAUCGGACAUCCCUCGUCCGUUACGGAGUCAAAGUCAACUCAUUUGAAGCGGAGGCAACUUGGUCAUAGGAGGGAAAAAGGUAUGACCGUUUCGUUGAAGAGAGGUUCUCUUUUGGAUGCAGGUUUUGAAAAGUUAGGGCACUGUAUUCGUGAAAAUCAGACCCGGGUUAGUUUUGAUUUGGCAGUGCACAAGUCGAAGGCUAGAAGUCUUCCAGCUUCUAAGCAUAGAUUCGACUCAGUUAAUUCCCUGCAUAGUUCAAGAUAGGCCCGUGGCGGGUUUUGGCAAAGAUGGCAUUGAAAGAAUUCGUGUCAAGGUGGAGAUUGUUAGAAUUGUGUGACCCAAAUUCUAAGAGAUUGCUUGCAAGUCAAGUUAAACAAAAAUAUAUUUUCUUUCUAGAAGAUUUAGUAUUUAUUAGUAUAAUAUAUUUAGCAUUUAUUAGUAUAGUUUAUUUGACUUACUAAUUUAGCCUAUAAAUAGGCUCUUUACAAUCUUAGAAUUAAGUGACACCCAUUAGAUUAGAACUCAUAACACAUUCAGAGAAUUUUGUGUUUACGUUUUGAGGGUUCUUUGUUUUUCGGGUUUUCGGGGUUUAGUUUUUAUCUUCAUCUUUUGUACUCUUCAUUCUUUUGCCAUUAUAGUAAAAUUAUCUUUGCCCGUGGUUUUUUAUCCUCUUUUAAGGGGUUUUUCCACGUUAAAUUUGCGUGUUCAUCUUCUCAAUUUCUUCUACUAUUUUUACUUGUUCGUUGCUUAAUCGGAACGAUCCUAACAUUAGCGUUUUUUAAUCUACUUCCCUUAUCCUUGAAUGUGCGAUUAAGGGAAGCUCCACCAUGGCUAAUACCAGCUUUAUUCUCAAAACCACGCCUUCUAGAACCAGAAAAAGAUUUAUUAGUAUUGACCAAAAUAUUUUUCUUAUAUUACCUUUGAAUGAUUUUGGCACAUUAUUUUCAUUAAAAAUAACAGCCAAAUGAUGUUUCGGGUCUAAAAGAGUAGCGUCUAAUUUAAUUGCAGUUUCACUAGGUCCUUCGAACAUGGGAUUAUUGAGAACCAACUUAUUUUUCACUUUUCCUGGAGAACCCAAUUGCACUUCUACAAGAUUCUGCUCCAUAAUUUUUUUAUCCAAAAUAGUAUUUUUUUUCCGCUUAAAAAACGUUGUCCAGUCCACUGGGAUUUAGCCCAUCAGGCGCUAAAGGACCAGUCUGCCCAGGCCUAACCUCACUUGGCCCACCAAGCUUCAUAUUCGACGGCCUGCUCAUUCCUACGUCAUCGCAUUUUACUUGCGCAAAGCCUGUAGACGGAAUGAAAGAACCAGAAUUAGAAGAGGUUAAAUUAGUAUUCAAGUCUUUAUUAAUUUGGAAAAACCCCGCUGAUCCCUCAGGCAUUUUUCCUAAAGAUUUAAGACUAAAAUCUCCCUUGACUAGGCCCGACCCAAUAACCCCUGGCCUGCUAGCACUAGACCUCAAAAAAGCCCAAUCGAAAGCCUAAACUCUGCCUCAGCCCCACGACCCACUUCAACAUCAUAACCGAAAUCCUUUAAAGGCUUAACCCUAGUUUUAUUACCUCUCAAACCCCCCGCCGCACUACCUUCUCCCUUCUCCCCCAAAAAUCCCUCAUCAGAUCCUCCCAAAUCACCACUUAAAGCACCUUCCACGAUCAACAAUAAAAAUCUAGACCCCAACGAACCUUUUCCAACUUUGCUACCCCAUUAACCCGAGAAUCCCAUUGACUACGCCUUGAUUUCCUCUCAACCAACAUCCACAACCUGUAAUCUAAUCUCAUUUCUUCACCACCAUCUUCUUUGGAGACCACCACUGUCACAUCUACGGAACUCCCUGAAGCCAGAUUCUCUCCCACCGAUAAGCACAGCUCCUUAACAUGACCAUAUUUGCCACAACAGAAGCAAAUCGUCGGGAGUGCCUCAUACUCAACCCUUUGAACAGCACAUCAACCAAGACUUGAGAGACCAAAGGUUUGUCAAGAUUGAUGAAUACUGCCAAGCGGGCAAACCGUCCCUUGGUUUUGUUAUCGGUUUGUAAAUCUAAUUUGAUGAAUUUUUUGAUUAGUCCUCCAAUAGCUUCAAUGAUUUUUCGUUUAUACAGGUAUCCUGAAAGACUCGAUAAAUGAAUCCAAGCCAUCACCAUGCUAGAGUAAGGCUGUGUUGGAUUAAACAUUUUUGUCCAUGGUUGCAUAGUAAGAUAUUGCCCGAAUAUGAUCCAUGGACCCUGGGUUAAAACUUUGUUGUAAUCGUCAAUAUCUUGAAACUUAACCAAAAAAUAUCCAUUAGUGGUAUCCAUUAGAUGAAAAGAUUUUGCAGGUUUCCAAAGAUUAAGGUUACGAUUGUGAAGCACGUUGUAUCCAAUGUUACGCCCUAAUAGCUUGAGAAUGACCGUCAACUCCAUUUCUUUGAAUAGUAUGUCCUUGAUGCGAUCCAAGAAGGCGAUUGCCGGAAUCCCAUUAACCAUGGACAUAUUCACAUCUCCUUCCAUAAGUUCAAAAUCACUCUCAUCCUUUCCAAAAAUCCCUUCAAGAUUCCCGUCAGAGGAGGCAACACCUCCCCCCAAAAGCUUGUCUUUAAAAGACAUAAUUGGCUGUUGAUUAGAAUCAACAACCAUAUUAUUGUCUUCCCCAUCAACAGCUUCCUUGAAUAUUACUUUUUUGGUAUUUCGGUCACCGUCAGCGUACGAAUCUCUAUCAGUAUCGUUACCGGAAUUUUGCGUCUCCAUUGCUUUGAUAAUACUAAAAUUAUUUUUAAAAUAGGCCAUCACAUCUUUAACAAAAUAAUUGAAAGAAAUUAGUUGGUGAUGAAUUUUAAUAAUGAUACUAUUUACUCACAAGACAAAAAGGAACUAAUGGAUAAGGUAAUCCAUUAACUUAUUAAUGUUAUUAUGAGUGAAUCCAUGUGCUUUUGCCCUUAAUUUAAAACUUUAUUCAUCAUUAUAACUUCAUUUAAUAUUAAAUAGGAGAAAACAAAUCAUUGUGAAAAUGACAUCUUCACAAGACACAGCAAUAUAUAAUAAUAAUAAUAAUAAUAAUAAUAAUAAAGCAUUUAACCGUUUGAUAUUUUCGUUGUUUUUGAGAGAAGUAACAUUUAAUCUUUAAAUUUGAUAAUUUUUUUAUUUUUAUAGUUCACAUUAAUUUUUUUUCAAUUUAAUCCUUAAAUUUGACUUUUAUUAAAGUAUGAUGAAGUAACAUUUUAAGAUUAUGCUAUGUUAUUACUUAAAAAUUUCAAAAUUUUAUAUAAAUUCUAAAAGUAAUUAAUUUAAGGGUUUGUUUGAUUGAAGGAAUUGAUUUUCCGGAAAAUCAUUUCCAACUUUUCCAGCGUUUGAUUGGCGGAAAAUAUUUUCUAUUUGGAAAAUGAACUCAAAAACAAGGGAAAAUGGGUUACAUUUUAGGGAAAAUGUCUUACCCUUUCAAUUUCCGUAAGACAUUUUCCGUGUUCUCCUCUCUAUCGCCUCCUUCAUUCCUUCCUUCAUUUCCGGUAGAAAAUUACUUCUAUUUAUCGAUUUUCCAGUAACUUAUUUUUUUAAUUAUUCAAUACUUGUUUUUUAACACAAUUACAAAUAAUUUAUUUGAUAUUAAUUUUUUUUCAAUUUAUAACGAUUAAUAUUACGGCUUAAUAAUUGAGUAUUAUUAUAAAUAAAUCAUUGCAAUAUAUGUAAAAAUAAUUUAAAAUAUAAAAAUUUAUUAAUAUAUAUCAAUAUAUGUAAAAACAAUUUUUUCGAAAAAUAUUUCCAGGAAAUCUACCAACCAGCCGAAAAUAUUUUACACAGAUUCAAUCAAACACCAGAAAAUAUUUUCCAGUAAAUCAUUUUACAGAAAAGUAAAACAUUUUCCCGAAAUUAUUUUACGGAAAAUAUUUUACUGGCAAUCAAACAGACCCUAAAUAAAAGUAAUUUUUUAAAAAAAUAAUAAUUUCAAGUGAUAAUUUGACAUAACCUCAAAUGUCACCUCAUUGUACUAUAACAAAAACUAAGUUCAUGGACCAAAUUAAAAAAGAAUUCAAGACUAAUAAAAACAAAUAAAAGGACCAAAAUGAAAAAAAUCACCAAAUUUAUAAACUAAAUGUCAAUUAUAUUUAUCAAAAGCCGACUGGUUUUAGAAGGAAAAAGAAAUGAAUUUCUCAUCAAUUAAUCCUACUCAUAUUUCAAACAUGGUUUGACACCAUUCAAAACUCAUCUCCAAAUCCAUUUCAAUUUCAGUCCAGAAAAAAUCUGAGGCAAUCCUCAAAUCCCACAAUGAAUUGAAUUAGUUUUUUUUUUUUUAUGUGGAUAAAGUUCUCUUAUCUAAAUCUUUCAAGCAUACAAUUAUUUGAGUAUCAAUCAUAUUCAUUUUACAGUUUACGUUUAAGGAUUAUAGCUAUAUUUUUUAACAAUACUGUCUCCAAGAUUCAAAUCCGUAUUUUACUAUUGGGAGUGCACUGUGUCUUAUCAUUGCAUCCAAAACUUAUUUAUAAGAAUGAGGGCAUAAAUGACAAUCUUUAGAAAAAUUGAGAUAAAAUAUAUAAAAAAAGAGAGUCAUAAUUUAACAUUUAUAUUUAUCAAACAAUCUAAUUAUAUUUCGCAUUUAAUUUUAUGUAACAUAUAAAACAUAUUUUAUAACUUAAAUUCAGUACUUAUUUUUAAUGUUUAACUUUUCAAUAUUUAUUUUUUAGCAUUUAAUUUUUCCGUUUAUCAAACAACACCUAAAUCUUUUAUAAAUAUAUUUUUCAUAUUAAUUUUUCUUUCACCUAUAUCGUGCAUGGGUCAUAAUCUAAUAAUAUUUAAGUGCAUGAUUUAGUUAAUGUAAUGAGUUAACCACACACAACUUAUUUAAAAAAUUGACUAAAAACGUUUUCUUUUAUAAAAUAACAAUAUUUGUGUUUUAUUUUUUUAUACAAAAUUUAUAAAAAAAAUUUAAACCCAAAAUAGAUUUAGAAAAAAAAUCAUAAUUACUUCAUUAAAAACUUUUAAAAAUAAAUAUAGAAAAUAAUACUUUUUUAACUAGAACGUAAGUCGUAACUAAAAUCAUUUUAAUAAAUAAUAUAAUAUGUUAAAUUAUUGAUUGAAUUAUUAUCACAGGUAAAACAGAUAUCACUUCAAUUAAAUAAUAAUUUCUUUUUACAAAUUUAUUAUAUUAUUGUAAGAUAUUUGGUAUAUUUUUAUAUAAAAAGCCAUACAAUAUUCAACCAAUUAUAUAUAUAUAUUUAUACACUAAGGUUGAUUAAUCACCAUUAAUUUUUAUAGAAUUGUUCUUAAAACUAUAGUUUGAAAGCAACAUAAACUUUAUAUUAUCACCUUUGAACGUGUCGGUUUUUUUGAUUAAAGAAAACUUUUUCCAGUUAAGGAUAAUGAUUUUAUAAUUGAAAAUUGAUUUUCUCAAUCUUAUCAAAACACUCCCCUCUCUUUACCUCAUUAAACUAACAUGCAAAGGGCCAAGUCAAAAAUUUUCCUUAAAAAGGGUCCAAAGUAAUAAAUAUUUAGAAGGAUCAAAAUAAAAUUUUACCAUGAAACUUGAAGAUUAAUUUGUAUAUUUAUAUUUAUAGGGCGAAUUUAAAAGGUAAGCAGGUGCUUUGCUCUCUCAAAAUCAAAAAAGAUUUCAAUUCAACUCCAUGAUUAACUUAUAAUUAAUAUAAUAAAAUUACAUUUUAGUCCUUAAAAAUGAAAAUAAAUUCAAAUUAAUCCCUUCAAAAAAUGAUAGAAAUAAUAAAAUUCAUACAUGUUCAAAAAAUUAUAAUUCAAUUUUCACCCAAAUGUUUUCCCAAAUUCGCAUACACAUAUAUACUUACCAUAAACAAAACAAAGAGAAGCAAAGCUCUUAGUAAUAUGCUGCUUGAAAAUUUAAACAUUUACCCAUAUUUCAUAUAUAUAUAUAUAAGAAGCAAAUACAGAAAAUCAAACAUACCUAUAUAUCCAUAUAUUUCACAUAGGUAGAGUUAUACAGAUCGGAAUUGUUAUGAAAACAUACAUGGUGGAUAUAGAUACACAUAUACUUAUGUAUAUGUGUGUAUUAUUGGGGUUUUUAUGUAGUUUCAACUGACUUGGGAGAAAGAGAAACCAUGGAAGUAUUGUUGGUAGGCAUGGAUUUUGAUCGUUUCAUCAUCCAAGAUGAUGAGCUUGAUCUGUGAAAUCUGCACCGGAAAGAGCCUUGGUGAGUCGUCGGCGAGCACAAACAUUGGCCUCCUUUCGGCGAGUUGGCUGCCGCCGACGCUGCUGCUUCCGAGUUGCUGCCUUUGGGGGAGGUGAUGACGGUGAUGUUUUCAUGGGACGCCAUUGAAAAGAGAGAGAGAAAAGAGAAAAUAAAUGAAGAGUUAGUUCUAGUGGGCAAACUUUAAAGAAGAAGCUUAUUAAGCCUUUUUGUAUUAUAUAUAUAUAGGUCAAAAUAUG
rnacentral:lncRNA from 1 species